UUAAGUUCAGCGGGUAUCCCUACCUGAUCCGAGGUCAAAGACGGGUUGUCGGCUUCGUGGAACGCGGUCCCGCCGCCUCGAGAAGCGCAAUGUGCUGCGCGGGAGGGGCAAGGCGCCGCCGCCAAUGCAUUUGGGGUGAGUCGCCGCGCGGGGCGGGACAGGCACCCAACACCAAGCAGGGCUUGAGGGUGUAGAUGACG
rnacentral:misc_RNA from 1 species